rnacentral:lncRNA from 1 species
CUCACCAACGGUGAUCAGUGCUACUGAAAGUAGAUUGUCCGCUUCAUUACCCAACGAAAUACCAAUCGAAAGCGGAAGUGAUGCGAACCUACUUGGAUGUGACAACUAAGUGAAAGAAGAGUCAAUGAGCAAAUUUUGUGGAGGAAUGACCCAAAACUUCAGAAGUUUGCGAGACGAUGCUCGUUAAAGCUCCAACAAGCAUCCACCCAGUUCAAGCAGCAUGUGGAAUUUUGAGAGACUGGCGCAGUAAGGAUGGUCUUUUCCUUCAUUUGG